AAAGGCGUAGUCGAUGGGAAACAGGUUAAUAUUCCUGUACUUGGUGUUACUGCGAAGGGGGGACGGAGAAGGCUAUGUUGGCCGGGCGACGGUUGUCCCGGUUUAAGCGUGUAGGCUGGUUUUCCAGGCAAAUCCGGAAAAUCAAGGCUGAGGCGUGAUGACGAGGCACUACGGUGCUGAAGCAACAAAUGCCCUGCUUCCAGGAAAAGCCUCUAAGCAUCAGGUAACAUCAAAUCGUACCCCAAACCGACACAGGUGGUCAGGUAGAGAAUACCAAGGCGCUUGAGAGAACUCGGGUGAAGGAACUAGGCAAAAUGGUGCCGUAACUUCGGGAGAAGGCACGCUGAUAUGUAGGUGAAGUCCCUUGCGGAUGGAGCUGAAAUCAGUCGAAGAUACCAGCUGGCUGCAACUGUUUAUUAAAAACACAGCACUGUGCAAACACGAAAGUGGACGUAUACGGUGUGACGCCUGCCCGGUGCCGGAAGGUUAAUUGAUGGGGUCAGCGCAAGCGAAGCUCUUGAUCGAAGCCCCGGUAAACGGCGGCCGUAACUAUAACGGUCCUAAGGUAGCGAAAUUCCUUGUCGGGUAAGUUCCGACCUGCACGAAUGGCGUAAUGAUGGCCAGGCUGUCUCCACCCGAGACUCAGUGAAAUUGAACUCGCUGUGAAGAUGCAGUGUACCCGCGGCAAGACGGAAAGACCCCGUGAACCUUUACUAUAGCUUGACACUGAACAUUGAGCCUUGAUGUGUAGGAUAGGUGGGAGGCUUUGAAGUGUGGACGCCAGUCUGCAUGGAGCCGGCCUUGAAAUACCACCCUUUAAUGUUUGAUGUUCUAACGUGGACCCGUGAUCCGGGUUGCGGACAGUGUCUGGUGGGUAGUUUGACUGGGGCGGUCUCCUCCUAAAGAGUAACGGAGGAGCACGAAGGUUGGCUAAUCCUGGUCGGACAUCAGGAGGUUAGUGCAAUGGCAUAAGCCAGCUUGACUGCGAGCGUGACGGCGCGAGCAGGUGCGAAAGCAGGUCAUAGUGAUCCGGUGGUUCUGAAUGGAAGGGCCAUCGCUCAACGGAUAAAAGGUACUCCGGGGAUAACAGGCUGAUACCGCCCAAGAGUUCAUAUCGACGGCGGUGUUUGGCACCUCGAUGUCGGCUCAUCACAUCCUGGGGCUGAAGUAGGUCCCAAGGGUAUGGCUGUUCGCCAUUUAAAGUGGUACGCGAGCUGGGUUUAGAACGUCGUGAGACAGUUCGGUCCCUAUCUGCCGUGGGCGCUGGAGAACUGAGGGGGGCUGCUCCUAGUACGAGAGGACCGGAGUGGACGCAUCACUGGUGUUCGGGUUGUCAUGCCAAUGGCACUGCCCGGUAGCUAAAUGCGGAAGAGAUAAGUGCUGAAAGCAUCUAAGCACGAAACUUGCCCCGAGAUGAGUUCUCCCUGACCCUUUAAGGGUCCUGAAGGAACGUUGAAGACGACGACGUUGAUAGGCCGGGUGUGUAAGCGCAGCGAUGCGUUGAGCUAACCGGUACUAAUGAACCGUGAG
rnacentral:rRNA from 1 species